GAGUGACCGGUGACUGGCUGCUGCAGCCAAUGAUGCGAUUCACAUACGUAUUUACCAUAGACUGUAUAUAAUGGUAUUUACGCAGCUAAUCAACGUCAGGCGUCCUUAUGUGCAGCCAUCGUUGUUCUCAUAGAUAUGAAUGAGUAGAUAGGACACGCCCCUUUGAGCUGCGUGCUACAGCGAGGCUAAGCUAGUGGGGGCAAAGUUUCAGUGCAUUCCGUUGAUGUAGACGGCGUGAAAACGGAAACAACAAGUAUGCCGGCUCACUGUGCUGCAUACAAUUACACACUACGUCGUACGAUUGAGACAAGGAAACUUGGAAUGACUUUUCAUAGGUUUCCCAGAGACUAUGGGUUGAGGAGGAAUUGGAAGUUUGUCGGCUUAGACCUGGUGUCAUUCCAUCAGUGUUAAACUUCCCGGCUCAUCUUGGAAGAGUACGUGCCAGAAAGACCACGACCAAGCAGCCUUGAGAUCUUAGGCAGCGUCUCCCUGAGGUCCCUCUCUAUCUCCCCACACAUCCACCAACCACUGGAACACAUCUCCAAAGUUCUGGGGCCAGCUCAGCUUCCCCUCAGAAGAAGU